rnacentral:rRNA from 1 species
GACGAACGCUGGCGGCACGCUUAACACAUGCAAGUCGAACGAGAUCCUCGGAGCUUGCUCCGAGGGGACAGUGGCGAACGGGUGAGUAACACGUGAGGAACCUGCCCCGAAGACCGGAAUAACACCGGGAAACCGGUGCUAAUACCGGAUGCCCUCACCGGACCGCAUGAUCCGGUGAGGAAAUGGAUUCCGCUUCGGGAUGGCCUCGCGGCCUAUCAGCUUGUUGGUGGGGUCACGGCCUACCAAGGCUUCGACGGGUAGCUGGUCUGAGAGGAUGUCCAGCCACACUGGGACUGAGACACGGCCCAGACUCCUACGGGAGGCAGCAGUGGGGAAUCUUGCGCAAUGGACGAAAGUCUGACGCAGCGAUGCCGCGUGCGGGAUGAAGGCCCUCGGGUUGUAAACCGCUUUCAGCAGGGACGAAAUUGACGGUACCUGCAGAAGAAGCCCCGGCCAACUACGUGCCAGCCGCCGCAGUAA